rnacentral:snRNA from 1 species
GUGCUGGCUUCAGCAGCACACAUACUAAAAUUGAUAAUACCGAGAUUAGUGCGGCCCCUUUCAAGGAUGGCAUACAAAUUCAUGAAGCAUUUCAUAUACUU